AUGCAAGUCGAACGAUGACUAACUAGCUUGCUAGUUAUGAUUAGUGGCGGACGGGUGAGUAACAUUUAGGAAUCUGCCUAGUAGUGGGGGAUAGCUCGGGGAAACUCGAAUUAAUACCGCAUACGACCUACGGGUGAAAGGGGGCGCAAGCUCUUGCUAUUAGAUGAGCCUAAAUCAGAUUAGCUAGUUGGUGGGGUAAAGGCCUACCAAGGCGACGAUCUGUAACUGGUCUGAGAGGAUGAUCAGUCACACCGGAACUGAGACACGGUCCGGACUCCUACGGGAGGCAGCAGUGGGGAAUAUUGGACAAUGGGGGCAACCCUGAUCCAGCCAUGCCGCGUGUGUGAAGAAGGCCUUUUGGUUGUAAAGCACUUUAAGCAGGGAGGAGAGGCUAAUGGUUAAUACCCAUUAGAUUAGACGUUACCUGCAGAAUAAGCACCGGCUAACUCUGUGCCAGCAGCCGCGGUAAUACAGAGGGUGCGAGCGUUAAUCGGAAUUACUGGGCGUAAAGCGAGUGUAGGUGGCUCAUUAAGUCACAUGUGAAAUCCCCGGGCUUAACCUGGGAACUGCAUGUGAUACUGGUGGGCUAGAAUAUGUGAGAGGGAAGUAGAAUUCCAGGUGUAGCGGUGAAAUGCGUAGAGAUCUGGAGGAAUACCGAUGGCGAAGGCAGCUUCCUGGCAUAAUAUUGACACUGAGAUUCGAAAGCGUGGGUAGCAAACAGGAUUAGAUACCCUGGUAGUCCACGCCGUAAACGAUGUCUACUAGCCGUUGGGGUCCUUGAGACUUUAGUGGCGCAGUUAACGCGAUAAGUAGACCGCCUGGGGAGUACGGCCGCAAGGUUAAAACUCAAAUGAAUUGACGGGGGCCCGCACAAGCGGUGGAGCAUGUGGUUUAAUUCGAUGCAACGCGAAGAACCUUAUCUGGUCUUGACAUAGUGAGAAUCCUGCAGAGAUGCGGGAGUGCCUUCGGGAAUUCACAUACAGGUGCUGCAUGGCUGUCGU
rnacentral:rRNA from 1 species